rnacentral:rRNA from 1 species
CUGAUGAGCCAUGCCGCGUGUAUGAAGAAGGCCUUCGGUGUUGUAAAGUACUUUCAGCGGGGGGAAGGGACGAGGUUAAUAACCUCAGCAAUUGACGUUACCCGGAAGAAGCACCGGCUAACUCCGUGCCAGCAGCCGCGGUAAUACGGAGGGUGCAAGCGUUAAUCGGAAUUACUGGGCGUUCAGAGUCGAGAGGCGGUCUGUCAAGUCGGAUGUGAAAUCCCCGGGCUCAACCUGGGAACUGCAUUCGAAACUGGCAGGCUAGAUCUUGUAGAGGGGGGUAGAAUUCCAGGUGUAGCGGUGAAAUGCGUAGAGAUCUGGAGGAA